UCUGUGUCAAGCAGGUUUAGAUUUCAAGCUUAUUCAGUAGUUUUUCGAUCAACCCUAAAAGCACAAUUAAAAAUCUCAUAAAAUUUAUCAGAAAAGGGAGGAUAUAUGCAAAGUUGAAAGCAAAUCGUGUAAAGAGUUGAAGCGAAUGAGAUGGUAGAUUGUAAAAAUUAUCAACAUUUCAUCCUACGAAACCAGAUGGAAUGGGCUUAAAACAGUUGAAUCUGAAGGGAAAAAUUAUAUCUGCUUCAACAGUAUGGAGUACAUACAAUCCUGAACUUUCAAAUAAGAAUUCAUAAUCCUGUGAGUGUUUCCCGUGCGUACUCUUUUUCUUCUGCUUAUCACUUAUGUUCUCUACCAAUGUAUUAAUUUUCUUCUUAUCAUAGGUUUACAUUCAUAACAAAGCUAUGCACAAACUCAGUUUAGCCUCAAAUUCCUUUUUCUUUUAAGAAAAUAGUUACCGGCUUUGACCCAAAAUGUUAAAAUUUCGGACACAACUCUUGUAGCAACACCCAACUAGUAUAAAAACCAUGGUAGACUAACCCAAAUGAAGCGUAGGCAUCCUUUAAUUAGCAUAUAAAAAGAGGCCCAAUCUAAGCCCAGUAACUUAAGUUCCAGGCACAGAAUAGGUGUUGCCUUUUUAUAAUAGAAUGGGGACACUGGAAAAAUACGAUACCAUUGACUUAAAAAAAAAAAAAACAAUUUGAUUUAGGUAAUAAGAUAAGCUAUAAAAGGAAGAAAAUGGAAAAGAAGCCAAUAGCAGUAUCCCUGAAAAGAAAGAUGCCGCCGUUGUUGGAAACAAAAACUCAGCCCAUGUCCAUGUUCUAACAGAACCUGUUAUACUUUGUGCGUCGUCGUUUGUUAUGUUCUUACUCUCUUACAUACUUUCUCCUAAUCUUUAAUAUAAUUUGUUAAUACAAACUCGAAACUUUUGGUUUCUAGAUAAAGAAAAACUGAAGACUUGUUAGUUAUAAGAAUCACGGGAUAGCUUUUUAAUUGGAGUAAUAAAGCGGUUAUGAUAGGCUAUUUCAACUUGGCCUGCAUGCCAUUUAGGUUGAUUAUUACCAUUUGACCUGUCAUGUAAGUUACAAGUAAAUUCCUCCAUAUCUAAGGUUUUGAAUAAUUUAAUAUACUUGACCUUUCUUUUUCACUGUAAACCCUCUUGUC